rnacentral:tRNA from 1 species
GGAGAGAUGGCUGAGUGGACUAAAGCGUCGGAGUGCUAAUCCGUGGUACAAAUUUUUGUACCGAGGGUUCGAAUCCCUCUCAUAACG